GAUGAACGCUAGCGGCAGGCUUAAUACAUGCAAGUCGUGGGGCAGCAUGGUGUGUAGCAAUACACACUGAUGGCGACCGGCAAACGGGUGCGGAACACGUACGCAACUUACCCUUAAGUGGGGGAUAGCCCGGGGAAACCCGGAUUAAUACCUCGUAACACUGUGAAGUGGCAUCACUUUAUAGUUAUAGCUCCGGCGCUUAAGGAUGGGCGUGCGUCCCAUUAGGUAGUUGGUUGAGGUAACGGCUCACCAAGCCUGCGAUGGGUAACUGGUGUGAGAGCACGACCAGUCACACGGGCACUGAGACACGGGCCCGACUCCUACGGGAGGCAGCAGUAAGGAAUAUUGGUCAAUGGACGCAAGUCUGAACCAGCCAUGCCGCGUGGAGGAUGAAGGCCCUCUGGGUUGUAAACUUCUUUUAUGGGGGACGAAACCCCGGAUUUUUAUCCGGCCUGACGGUACCCCAGGAAUAAGCACCGGCUAACUCCGUGCCAGCCGCCGCCGUAAUAC
rnacentral:rRNA from 1 species